rnacentral:tRNA from 1 species
CCUUCGAUAGCUCAGUUGGUAGAGCGGUGGACUGUAGAGGUUAUGUAUAUACGGUGUAUUAGAGAAACGCCACGGAUAUCCAUAGGUCGCUGGUUCGAAUCCGGCUCGAAGGA